rnacentral:tRNA from 2 species
GGGGCUGUAGCUCAGUUGGGAGAGCGCCUCCCUUGCACGGAGGAAGUCAGGAGUUCGAGUCUCCUCAGCUCCACCA